CCUACGGGGUGCAGCAGUGGGGAAUAUUGCACAAUGGGGGAAACCCUGAUGCAGCGACGCCGCGUGAGUGAAGAAGUAAUUCGGUAUGUAAAGCUCUAUCAGCAGGGAAGAAAAUGACGGUACCUGAGUAAGAAGCCCCGGCUAACUACGUGCCAGCAGCCGCGGUAAUACGGAGGGGGCAAGCGUUAUCCGGAUUUACUGGGUGUAAAGGGAGCGUAGACGGCAGUGCAAGUCUGGAGUGAAAGGCUGGGGCUCAACCCCCGGACUGCUCUGGAAAGCGUACGGCUAGAGUGCAGGAGAGGUAAGUGGAAUUCCUAGUGUAGCGGUGAAAUGCGUAGAUAUUAGGAGGAACACCAGUGGCGAAGGCGGCUUACUGGACUGUAACUGACGUUGAGGCUCGAAAGCGUGGGGAGCAAACAGGAUUAGAUACCCGUGUAGUC
rnacentral:rRNA from 1 species